rnacentral:rRNA from 1 species
GAUGAACGCUGGCGGCGUGCCUAAUACAUGCAAGUCGAGCGAACAGAUGAGGAGCUUGCUCCUCUGACGUUAGCGGCGGACGGGUGAGUACCACGUGGAAAACCACCUUUUAAAACGGGGAUAACUUCGGAAAACCGGAGCUAAUACGGGAUAAUAUAUUGAACGGAAGGGUUAAUAGGUAAAAGCCGGUUUUGUUGCACCUAAUGGAUGAUUCCGCGCCGCAUUAGCUAGUUGGUAAGGUAACGGCUUACCAAGGCAACGAUGCGUAGCCGACCUGAGAGGGUGAUCGGCCACACUGGAACUGAGACACGGUCCAGACUCCUACGGGAGGCAGCAGUAGGGAAUCUUCCGCAAUGGGCGAAAGCCUGACGGAGCAACGCCGCGUGAGUGAUGAAGGUCUUCGGAUCGUAAAACUCUGUUAUUAGGGAAGAACAAAUGUGUAAGUAACUAUGCACGUCUUGACGGUACCUAAUCAGAAAGCCACGGCUAACUACGUG